AGGUCUCAAAGCCCCUCUACAGUUUGCAGGUGAAGGGGGUUAUAAUUGUCAAUCCUUCUCCACCAGGAUACGGCCCGGACUUAAAAGUUUCAACUGUAUACUUGCCUCGUGUCGAAAGGUAUUACGAAUUCUUGUCUUACUAAAAAUUUGCAGUUCUCAAUUAUUUUUAGAAGCUUAUAAUCACUCUCAAUCCUGCUCUGCAAACUCUUGACGAGUUGUUUUCUUGGCGAAAAGGAUGAUCAGAUAUGAACCCUCCAGUCAGUCAAGAUACUUAGAGGAUACGUACUAGUACUCGUAGGAUAAUAAGUAA
rnacentral:sRNA from 2 species